GUGGGGAAUAUUGGGCAAUGGGCGAAAGCCUGACCCAGCAACGCCGCGUGAAGGAAGAAGGCUUUCGGGUUGUAAACUUCUUUUGUCAGGGACGAAAAAAAUGACGGUACCUGACGAAUAAGCCACGGCUAACUACGUGCCAGCAGCCGCGGUAAUACGUAGGUGGCAAGCGUUAUCCGGAUUUACUGGGUGUAAAGGGCGUGUAGGCGGGAAAGCAAGUCAGAUGUGAAAACUAUGGGCUCAACCCAUAGCCUGCAUUUGAAACUGUUUUUCUUGAGUACUGGAGAGGCAGAUGGAAUUCCUAGUGUAGCGGUGAAAUGCGUAGAUAUUAGGAGGAACACCAGUGGCGAAGGCGAUCUGCUGGACAGCAACUGACGCUGAGGCGCGAAAGCGUGGGGAGCAAACAGGAUUAGAAACCCGUGUAGUCC
rnacentral:rRNA from 1 species